rnacentral:RNase_P_RNA from 2 species
CGAGUUGGCCGGGCAGUCGCUGCGUUCGCAAGAACGGGGAGGAAAGUCCGGGCUCCAUAGAGCAGGGUGCCAGAUAACGUCUGGGCGGCGUGAGCCGACGACAAGUGCAACAGAGAACAGACCGCCUGCCUUCGGGCCGGUAAGGGUGAAACGGUGCGGUAAGAGCGCACCGCGCGACUGGCAACAGUUCGUGGCAAGGUAAACUCCACCCGGAGCAAGAUCAAAUAGGGUUCCACUGCUUACCUAGGUAAGUUAAUGCGUGGCUCGCGUUGGAACCGGGUAGAUUGCUUGAGCCUGUGAGCGAUUGCAGGCCUAGAGGAAUGGCUGCCGCUCCUUCGGGAGAACAGGACCCGGCUUACAGGCCAACUCACCUC